rnacentral:rRNA from 1 species
UACGAAGGGGGCUAGCGUUGUUCGGAAUUACUGGGCGUAAAGCGCACGUAGGCGGAUUUGUUAGUCAGGGGUGAAAUCCCGGGGCUCAACCUCGGAACUGCCUUUGAUACUGCAAGUCUCGAGUCCGAUAGAGGUGGGCGGAAUUCCUAGUGUAGAGGUGAAAUUCGUAGAUAUCUGGAGGAACACCGGUGGCGAAGGCGACAUCCUGGACCGGUAUUGACGCUGAGGCGCGAAAGCCAGGGGAGCAAACGGG